rnacentral:lncRNA from 1 species
UUCUAUUUUCCUAUUGAUUUAUUGCAGCCGUUGCCGGGCCUCGGUGUGUGCGAAGUCAGGGCACUUCACAACUGCGCCCUGUUUAAACAGGAAAAGCAUGCACCAUUUUGUCAGGGAGGAGGGAGCAGCCCAAAGUCUCUCCCUUCAGUUCGGUCCCCAGGGGCCCAGACCAACAAAGAAGACAUUAAAAACCUGCAGCCCAGAGAGGGAAGGAAACUGCCUCUCUGGGUCUUCCCCAAGCCCAGCUGUGCAAGGACAGGAAAGGGCCCCAGCAGAGCGAGAGACCAGCUGAGGAAAGCAGAGGCCAGGCUGCCCUGUGGUCCAGUGAGAGGCUCGCCAAGGCCAAGGCCUGGCCCUGGGGCCUAGAGGGUCACCAAGGCCCCUUCUGGAGGUUACCUCCUUCCAAGCUGUGCAUGGAAUCCUUCCCUGCCUGCCAGGCUCUGGCCAUCCCGAGGCCUCACCACACUGAAAGCGGCCCCUGAAAAGCCCAGGGAGAAGGAACCAGCAGCGGACCACAUCUGUACCAAGAGGUUAGUCUAAACUCCAAUGGUCUGGCUGGCCGGGGAGGAGGGGAAGGGGAGAUGGGGGUGAGGUUUUUCCACUUCCAUUCGAAACUGUCAGGCGGGUGAUUAAUGACCAACAGGUUUGGAAUCGCCUUUAUUGCCAGAUCAGUAUUGUUGCCCGUGACAACUAAUGAGGUUGGACAG